rnacentral:misc_RNA from 1 species
GAAAUGCGAUAAGUAAUGUGAAUUGCAGAAUUCAGUGAAUCAUCGAAUCUUUGAACGCACAUUGCGCCCGCCAGCACUCUGGCGGGCAUGCCUGUUCGAGCGUCAUUUCAACCCUCAGAACCCCUUGCGGGAUCUGGCGUUGGGGAUUGGCAUCCAGCCAGCCCCGAAAUCUAGUGGCGGUCCCUCCGCGACCUCCCCUGUGCAGUAGCGAUACCUCGCAGCGGGACAGCGGUCUGACCACGCCGUAAAACCCCCAACUUCUCAAGGUUGACCUCGAAUCAGGUAGGAAUACGUGCUGAACUUAAGC